rnacentral:misc_RNA from 1 species
GAAAAAUGUCAGUGGUGUGGAAAGUCUUUUUAUGAACAAAAGCUUUCUGUUCACCAGAAGUACUUUUGUGGACCAGAUGCUGUUAAAACGGCUAAACAAUCAAAGCAGCAGAGCAAGCCUGGAGGAAAACCGUCAAAGCUGAAAAAGGAUCAUAUUGAAGGUGAUUCAAAGAUUAAUACGGGUAAAAGAGGCAGUGGCAAGGGAAUAAAGCGCAAAAGCGAGACUGAUGCUGGUUGUGUUGAUGAUUUAGCCUUUGCUGGUCAAGAUAUGUCCACGAGGAAGUCAAUUUUGCACUCUGUGAAAUGGAAUCGUAUUAUUUUGGAUGAGGCCCAUUAUGUAAAAGAUAGACGCUCCAACACUACAAGAGCUAUUCUUGCGCUAGAAUCUUCUUAUAAGUGGGCCUUAAGUGGUACUCCCCUCCAGAACCGUGUAGGAGAGCUAUACUCACUUGUGCGUUUCCUGCAAAUCGUUCCUUACUCGUACUACUUCUGCAAAGAUUGUGAUUGCAGAG